rnacentral:tRNA from 1 species
GGAUUGUGGCUCAGUGGUAGAGCUUUUGCCUAGCAUGCAUGAGGUACUAGGUUUGAUACCCAGCACCA